GUAGGUGGCAAGCGUUGUCCGGAAUUAUUGGGCGUAAAGCGCGCGCAGGCGGUCCUUUAAGUCUGAUGUGAAAGCCCACGGCUCAACCGUGGAGGGUCAUUGGAAACUGGGGGACUUGAGUACAGAAGAGGAAAGUGGAAUUCCACGUGUAGCGGUGAAAUGCGUAGAGAUGUGGAGGAACACCAGUGGCGAAGGCGACUUUCUGGUCUGUAACUGACGCUGAGGCGCGAAAGCGUGGGGAGCAAACAGGGAUUAGAUACCCUGGUAGUCCACGCCGUAAACGAUGAGUGCUAAGUGUUAGAGGGUUUCCGCCCCUUUAGUGCUGCAGCUAACGCAUUAAGCACUCCGCCUGGGGAGUACGGCCGCAAGGCUG
rnacentral:rRNA from 1 species